rnacentral:rRNA from 1 species
AUGUCUAGCUACCACAUCAUCAAUACGCCGCAGCUAAUGGUGCUGAUGGAAGAAUUUGGGAGCCUACUGACGAUUGCUUCAGCUGGUAUACCCGUGCAUCUAUCAGUUGGUGAGAGCAGUACCAUUCUUAUUUACACUGCUAGAUGGUUGCUACAGAUAUCUUCCAGUUCACUAUUGCAAAUGCCUUUAAGUGGAUCUGCACCCAAUUUUAUUAUGGCGAUUUUUUCCGAGUGUGGCAGUGCUGAAGUGUGGAUGGAGAGGACAGUUUGGCUUGCAAGAUAUUCUCCUACAGAUUACCAUUCCCCAAGCUUAUAUAGUUUGCUAUUUUUGGGAAACAUCUAA